AAAUUCUUCAUCUGUAUUUAAAUUUAAAUUAUAUUCUAUAUAUUUUUAAUAAUAGUGUUCAACUGUUCAUACAAAUGUUUUCAUUAUUCAUAAAAAUCAAUUUUCCAUUACGUUAAUCGGUUAAUUAUCUUGAUUUUUUAUGUUAAUCGGUUUUAAAUUUUUAUGUCAUCUAUAUUUAGAGACAGAAUUAAAAUCAUAGUCAAGUAUCAAAUUUUGAAAACUUAAACAAUUAAAAUUCAAUAGCUAAAAUUGAAAUAAAUUAAAAUAGUUUGAAUUUUUUUUUCCUUUUAAUUAUAUUAUUGGAAUUUAAAUUCAUCUUUUUUAUUUUAUAUAAACUUGUUACUUUAGUAAUUGAGUAUUAAAGGUUUAGUGUUUAUGUGUAUGGUUUAGGUUUUAGGAUUUUGGGGUCUGAAUUUAUAGUUUAUAGUUUUUGAUUUUAUGGUUUAGUGUUUAGGGUUUUGGGUUUAAUGAUUUAUUGUUUUUGGGUUUUAAUCAUAUGGUUUUUGAUUUUGGAGUUUGAUUUUAUGUUUUAUCAUUUAUUAUUUAUAGGGUUAUAGAUCCGAAUUUUGGUUUGGGAUUUUUAUAUUUAGGGUUUAGAAUUGUAGUUUUUGCAUUUUCAAGUUAAGGGUUAUAAGCAUUAGGCUUUAGGAUUUAUGUUUUAGUGUUUAGAUUUAGAGUUUAAAAUUUAGAAUUUAGUGUUUAGAAUUUUUGUUUUGGUUUUAGAAUCUAUGGAUUAAGGUUUAGAUUUUAUGUACUGUGCUUAGGAUUUAGAACGUUUAGAGUUUAGGAUUUAGUGUUUAAAAUUUUUUUUGUUUUUGUCUUAGGGUCUAUAAAUUAGGGUUUAGAUUUUAUACUCAAGGUUUAGUGUCUAGAGUUUAAUGUUUAGAGUUUAUUUGGAAUUUAGGAUUAGUUUUUAUUGGUGAGGAUGUGAGGUUUUGCUUUCUCAUAGUUAUAAUUUAGUGUUUAAAAUUUAUAGCUUAUUGUUUAUAAUUUAGGAUUUAUGAUCUACAAAUUUAUA